UUAUGGCCAUAUCAUGCUGAAACACUAGUUCUUGUCUGAUCACCAAAGUUAAGCAAUGUUGAGCAUGGUCAGUACCUAGAUGAGUGACCACUUGGUAAGACUAAGUGCUGUAA